ACCGCGGCUGUCACGGCAUAUUAAAAAGUGCCUGCUUGCAACCAGGAGAACAAUGCCGCUAGGUGGGAGAAAGCUGAAAGGCCCAGCCUGGCACGCUGACUCGCUUCUGAGGAAAUGGAGCUGCUCCGUCAGCCCUGCGUCGCGGUGCCUCGUGCUCGCUGGAUGGGAAACCUGCAGCCGUCGUGGGACUUUGUGAGGCCAGGCUCUGCACCUGACCCACGGCGCUGUUCCUGCUCCCUUGCCCACCCUCCUGGGAGAUGGAUGGAAAAGGGAAGAGGCUGGAUAUCCUGAAAUGAAGCCAAAUCCUGGACAGACAAUGGCACCACAAGUGCCCGCAGGGGAAGGGAGACGAGCAUUGCAAGCUACAGCUCAAAACAACCCAAAACUGCUCCACAGGCUCCUGGCUGUCUUGGCAGGUGUCUGGGCCCCUGACAAGCUGGGGCUGAGUUGUGUAGGUGAGUGAAUUGUGCUCGUGUUUUCCAUCAAAGUCAGGCGGAUGAGGCGCUGGGUGAUUACUAACAGCUCAGGGAAGCCAAGGACUCUUUUUCCGAGACACAGUCACAGUACUGUCCAAAAAAAAAAAAAAAAAUUACUAAUGCUUCCGAAUCCUCUCCUUCCAGCCGAGAGGAGAGGGUCUGACAUUGCUAGGCUGAUUCAUGAAAAUCACUCUGAGCCCUUGUAUUGAUAGUUUCAGCUCUCUGUAUCCACAGGAGCCGUGCCCUUAUCCCUGAACUCCGUUAUUUCACUUGUUCUCUCUCUAGAUGCACUAAAUAAAGCCUACUUGAUGUGCUGGGCUUGAGGAUCUCUGGCACAGCUCAGUGUGCCCUCAUGGCCUGCCCAUGCAAAUAUGAUGUUCUGCUCUCCCAUGCCCUCGGUUUGCUCAACGCCUGCAGCAUUGCAAGACGGUUUGGCUGGCCCGGUAGACGGGAGACCUUCCAGUCUGCAGGGCUGAGCCAUGCCUCUGGGGCAGCCUCUCACGUCCUCGCUCCCAGGGCAAUUCAAGUCACCAUAGCGUGCAUCACCAUUCGUGCAGGCUCCCGUUGCAGCUGAAUGCAGUCCUGUUGAAGGAACCAGGGACCAGGGAGCCUUUCCCCUGACUUUAGAGAGAUUCAAAUUGAGGUUUCUAGCCUAAGCUUACCCAAAUGAUGGACUACAUCUUGAGGCCCUAAGCCACAAGACCUCCCCAGACAGACAUCAGGACUUAUUGCUCCUAAAAGCCCAAGCAACCACCCACGAUUGCCUGGGCCCCACCGGCAAUAGCUGUGCCGAAGCUUGGAUCUGCUGUCAUCAUCAGCUGUAUGGGGGCAGGGGGCGGAGGAUCUCGUAUCCUCCGAGCUGGCUGCGGCUUCACAUUUUUGACUUUGAGAGUGCAGAAUAAACUCGCCUCUUCCCUAUAGACCCCUUCCUCCCUCUGCCUGAUUACCGCCAGGAGAGAGCAGAAGCAUAUGAUGGAUACGCUGAAAAACAUGAGUCCAGGGUCAUGGCUUUGUAUAUAAAGAGUAAAUGAUGCUAAGCGCGGAGCCCCAUCUCCCUGGCUUGCUCGUGGGAUGCACAAGCACACGCACUUCCUUUUGGCCUUGAACCCAGCUGUAAAUGAGAGACCUCCCAGAGGGAGCUGGCAGCACGCUCCUCCCUGCUCAGCCCCGGGGGUGGGAGACGGUCUUGGUGCAGAAAGCCACCAGCAGAGAACAACUUUGAGGCUAUAAAGAUGUUUGCUCCUUGCACUGUAUUUCCUCCUUUUAUGUUGCCAGUUGGCAAACAGCUCUCUGAUGUCUUAUUCUGAAGGGCUCCGUGCGGAAAACUUUUCCAACUCCGAACAAAUGUUGCCGCAUAAAUAAAUGAUGGAGGAGGCGGUGGGGGAAAGCCCUGAAAGCCUUGGAAAAUAAAAGUGC